rnacentral:rRNA from 1 species
UACGUAGGGUGCAAGCGUUGUCCGGAAUUAUUGGGCGUAAAGAGCUCGUAGGCGGUCUGUCGCGUCUGCUGUGAAAACUCGGGGCUUAACCCCGAGCCUGCAGUGGAUACGGGCAGACUAGAGGUAGGUAGGGGAGAAUGGAAUUCCCGGUGUAGCGGUGAAAUGCGCAGAUAUCGGGAGGAACACCGGUGGCGAAGGCGGUUCUCUGGGCCUUACCUGACGCUGAGGAGCGAAAGCGUGGGGAGCAAACAGG